rnacentral:sRNA from 1 species
AUUAAGAAAGCUGAAGCGCUUUCAAAUUUAGUAAUUUUCCGAAGGGAAGGGAGAUCCUAAGAUGGGAACGAUUGUUUGCCAAUCUUGUGAUUUGACUAUUGAUCAUUUUGAAGAUGAAAAAGUAACGGUUCUCUACUCUAAAUGCCAAUGCUGCCAUGACCAUGAAAAGGUACAAACGGAAGAACAUUAAUAGAUUUAAACUAAAAAAGCAUGCAGAGGCAUGCUUUUUU